ACAAAGGCUCUUUUAAGAGCCACUCCAUUCACAAUAAAAAGUGCUGU
rfam:Cathartes aura contig191059, whole genome shotgun sequence.